GCAAACUUGGUCAUUUAGAGGAAGUAAAAGUCGUAACAAGGUUUCCGUAGGUGAACCUGCGGAAGGAUCAUUACCUAGAGUUUGUGGACUUCGGUCUGCUACCUCUUACCCAUGUCUUUUGAGUACCUUCGUUUCCUCGGCGGGUCCGCCCGCCGGUUGGACAACAUUCAAACCCUUUGCAGUUGCAAUCAGCGUCUGAAAAAACUUAAUAGUUACAACUUUCAACAACGGAUCUCUUGGUUCUGGCAUCGAUGAAGAACGCAGC
rnacentral:misc_RNA from 1 species